GUUUACCUACGGGGCGCAGCAGUGGGGGAUAUUGCACAAUGGAGGAAACUCUGAUGCAGCGACGCCGCGUGAGGGAAGACGGUCUUCGGAUUGUAAACCUCUGUCUUUGGGGAAGAAAAUGACGGUACCCAAAGAGGAAGCUCCGGCUAACUACGUGCCAGCAGCCGCGGUAAUACGUAGGGAGCGAGCGUUGUCCGGAAUUACUGGGUGUAAAGGGAGCGUAGGCGGGCGAGAAAGUUGAAUGUGAAAUCUACCGGCUUAACUGGGAGCUGCGUUCAAAACUUCUUGUACUGAGUGAAGU
rnacentral:rRNA from 1 species